rnacentral:lncRNA from 1 species
UUUUUUGAGAUAGCCAAAACCAAAUCUUUUUUUCUCAAAAUCGGAGCAUCAAAAAGGAGCCAUUCAUCCAAAUGUGUUUAUUCUGUUUCUAACAGAGAACAAAUUCUUAAGAGGGCAGGGUUGGGGGUUAUUUUUUAUGAUGUAUACCUUGCCUGGUUUACUGUUAGAUUUUAUAAAUAAUACGAUUUGCAGCAUCUACCCAAGGACAAAGGUGAACUGACAUUCCAUUCCCACAUCCCACCCUCCCUCUCCAAAAUCCCUCUUUGCAACUGCGGUCACUCCUUUGACAUUUUAAUGUAACAUCAACCCAUUGCCACCCUCAGGAAGCUGAAAUCCUAGUAAAAGAGAGAGCAGGAUAGAGAGAUACUGAGAAACACUUCAGGAGGUUGCACUUACACUCCACAUUCCAGCAGUUUGUCCAGAAACAGAGGAGGCAGUAGUUCUUAUUUUUGUGGUGUCAAGCUGUACACUGAGAUUCAGCAAAAAGCUUCCUUUCUUAACGUGAGGAAUGUGAAAUAUAUUCUAGGAUAUGUGUUAAGUAUGAUCCUUUGUUCUAGGUAUGAGCUUUUCUUUUUCUAAAGUUUUUCGCUCUUGAUCAAGCAAAGGGAAACAAUAUUAUUUUGAAAUUCUCUUAAAGGCGCCUUUCAAAGCCUCUCCCACGGGAAAAGAUCACCACAGCUCAACACUGCUGUUUUUGAGUAAGAAUCGAGUCCGAUUUUUUUUUUUUUCAACAUGGCUGUAUACUUUGCAGGCCCCCAAAUUUGUGCUUUCAUAGUCAGCAUUAAUCAAACAGCCAGAACCACCCUCUUUAGCCAACCUACGUUUCGUGGACUAAAAACGCACCCUGAUGAAAGAGGAGGCUCAUUGUGAAAACCUCGCUGUUAUUUGUGUGCCCC